ensembl:lncRNA LINC01333 long intergenic non-protein coding RNA 1333
GGCAGAGUGAGUUCAGCCUAUCAUUUGAGAUCCGAGUAUGAUUGGGGAAAUAUCCUGAAAUAGUCUAUGAUUUGAAGAAAUGGAUAGAUGGCUAGAAUAACAUGCUAGAUGGUAGUCAAGUUACUAACUGCAGAAUUGAUUUGAUAAAAUUCUCAUCGUGUCUCCUGACUUAGGAGAAAUAUUGGGUCUGAUGAAUGGGUAAAAUUCCCAGGUGAAAAGAAUUUGGUCUGUAAGAUUUGGCAGCACCCUGAGGUUUGCCAUAUCUGAUGGCCUGGCUUUAGUGGCAGCACCUAGUGAAGGCCCAGGUGUCCUUCUGACAACCUUUACCACCUACCGUUUUGUCCUUACUUAUGUUGAAUCACUACACACAGGCUGUUGAAUUCAGCUGUCUGUGGAGAAAUUAUACCAACCACAUGGUUAGACAGAAGGAAUACAAUAUAUUGCUUAAUUUGUAUCUGAAAGCUAAGCAACAUGGAAAAAAAUCAAGCAUGCUCAGUCACUUCCAUGAGGACAAACGAAGACACUUCAAGGAGGACAUUGACAUGGAUCUGCCAGCUUUCUAAGACUUUCCCCAGAUUCAAGUCCAGUCACAUCAAGUUGCCUUAUUAAAGGGUCUGCCCACUCAAAAGGAGAAAGUGCAAAAGAUGCUCAGCAAGAUUUGCACCCCUAUUGCUGGCACUGGGUGGACCUCCCCAAACGCUCUGCCCUUGGUGCUCUUCUGCCGGUUAUUCUCGUCCAUGACCCCAGAGCCAGGGAGAAUCUCACCAGUGCAGCCCAGGGCACUUCUGAUAACAUCUGAGCAGAGUGAAGGAGAAGAAACGCACGAGGCAGGCAUCUCAUUUAUGGAAGUGCUCCUCUGGGUCAAGCCCUCUGCCAAUAAUUUUCAUGCAUAAUGGCCCUUUCAUUCUCCCCAAAAAUUCUUCAAGGGAGGGUGAUAAUCCCAGGAUAUGGAAACAAGGAAAAGCAGACUACAAGAAGUUAAGUGACCUCCCCAAUGACCCGCUGCUCAUAAAUGGUAGUAUCAGAAUUAAAACCCAGAUGAGGCUGC